UACGAAGGUCCCAAGCGUUGUUCGGAAUCACUGGGCGUAAAGGGAGCGUAGGCGGCGUGGUAAGUCAGAUGUGAAAUCCCGGGGGCUCAACCCCGGAACUGCAUCCGAUACUGCCAUGCUAGAGGAUUGGAGAGGUAGCUGGAAUUCUUGGUGUAGCAGUGAAAUGCGUAGAGAUCAAGAGGAACACUCGUGGCGAAAGCGAGCUACUGGACAAUUCCUGACGCUGAGGCUCGAAGGCUAGGGUAGCGAAAGGG
rnacentral:rRNA from 1 species